UACGUAUGGUGCAAGCGUUAUCCGGAUUUACUGGGUGUAAAGGGAGCGUAGGCGGCGCGUUAAGUCCAAUGUGAAAACCCGAGGCUCAACCACGGGAGUGCAUUGGAAACUGGCGUGCUGGAGUGCCGGAGAGGUAAGCGGAAUUCCUAGUGUAGCGGUGAAAUGCGUAGAUAUUAGGAGGAACACCAGUGGCGAAGGCGGCUUACUGGACGGCAACUGACGCUGAGGCUCGAAAGCGUGGGGAGCAAACAGG
rnacentral:rRNA from 1 species